GGGCUCUCUCUCUCCAAACCGAAGGGGUCGGCUGCUUUUGAAUAAUGAAUGACGCGUUUUUCUACCGUCGCCAAAGUGCCAGUGAUGUUAGAAUAUGAAAAGGCAGCCAUGUUAAUGCCAUUUAACCCAGUUGAAGACUCACAUGUUCAGUGCGAUGAACUCAUUAUUGGAUUCUGGAUUCAAACAGAAAUCGGGAUCACACACACAUGGAGAGAUCACCUAAAGGGGACUGUUGGCAGAGCAUGUCUGUACCUAGGCAGCCCCUGUGCCUGGUGAUGGCCCUACACUGGCCCACGACAGACCCAUUUCCCACAGAC